rnacentral:misc_RNA from 1 species
UACGGAGGGUGCAAGCGUUAAUCGGAAUUACUGGGCGUAAAGCGCGCGUAGGCGGCUGAUUAAGUCGGAUGUGAAAGCCCCGGGCUUAACCUGGGAACUGCAUUCGAUACUGAGCAGCCCGAGUGUGGGAGAGGAAGGUAGAAUUCCUAGUGUAGCGGUGAAAUGCGUAGAUAUUAGGAGGAAUACCGGUGGAGCAGGCGGCCUUCUGGCCUAACACUGACGCUGAGGUGCGAAAGCGUGGGGAGCAAACAGG